CAAUUCAUUCUUCUUUUAAACCCAAAUUGCUUUUACAAACCCGAACCCUUCAAUUCCUUCCUAAUCACACUGCAUAUAUAUUGUUUAUUUGUAAAAAAAAAAUUAGAAAAAAAAAAAAAUCUUUACUUGAAUUGAAUACAUAUCUAUAUUCUGUACGAGGACUCAGUCAGCAGCAUAGAAAAACCCAUAUCUCCCUUUCCUUUUUCUUGUGUUUUCUUGUUAUUGGUGGAUCGGCUUCUGAAUUCUCAGGGUUUUGUUUGGAAGAAGAGCUAGUAGAUGUUGAGUUGGAGAGGUAGAAGGUGAACUGGGUCUGACUUUUUUUUAUGGAUAAUUUAUGUUGCUUCGGUUCUCAGGUGGGGAUACUAAAACAAUUUAUGAAUUUGUACUAUCUUUUUUAGUUCCUGCAUACUUUUUUGGUGAAUUUUAUGGUAUGGUUGUUGAAUCUCUCUCUUGAAGUUGAUGAUCCAUUAGAUUUGAAGGUGGGUUUUGUGUUUUGGAGAUUAAAAUUUUGGGGGAUUGUCUGUUUAUGGAAAUUUUAAUUAGG